rnacentral:ribozyme from 1 species
UGAAACAUAUGAAAAGAAAAAUAAGAAAAAAGCACAAUCACGACGUUGGAAAAGAAAGCCUCUAAAAGACACAUAAUCGACACCCAACCGCACCUUCUCGAAGAUUUGUCUUCCUUUUUCUCCUUUUCUUUUUUUCUUUCUUUCUUUUUUCUUUUUUCUUUUUUCUUUUUCUCGU